rnacentral:lncRNA from 1 species
GCUUUUAUAUUACAAAAAAUGAAGUCACAACGAAUGCGAAAAAUCCAUUCAAUGAGGCUUGUUUCCAGUCUGCUAGGAAAGCUACUUUCUCUUCUUUUUUCCCAGCCUACUGCUGAAAACAUGAUUGCCAAAACAGUGACACCUCGAGCUAGAUUUUUAAAAUCAAACUUGCUCUGCCAGAUCCAGUACUCUGAACUUGUCCAGGUUGUAGAAACAAGCCUUCACCACUCGGCCGCCAAAGUAUCUUCCGUUUAGAUCCACAACAGCUUUAAUUGCAGACUCAACCCGCUCAAACUCCAAAAAUAUUCUUACAGCUUCAUCAUCAGGGGCACCAGGAAUCUCAAAGAUGACGCAUUUCCCAACCUUGCCAUAUUUUUCACAUUCUUCCUUAGUUUCAACUUCUAGAUCUUCGUCCACCUCGCCAGCACCCACCAUAUUCCUUAGUAAGACCACUUUAGUUGGGCAUUUCAGUAUCUCAGUCAAUGGAUUAGAAUCUGCUUUCUUGGUUGCAUCUUUCUCUGUAGCAUCACCAACAAUGAUCUUGCCACCCCUCUUGCUUGUUUUCUCUACAGAGAGUGCUGUGCUCAGGCCCUGUUCAUGCUUUCCCAGCCCUUGGCCCUCUCUGAAACCAUACUUCUGCAUGAUUUUAUGAGCUACUGUCCCUCCCAUGUUAGCAAGGAAUGAGUUGCUAGGUCCUGUCGGGGAACGAGGUCUGUCUGGCUCAUCAUACACUGGAGGAGGAAUGGCUGCUUUGGAAGAUGGUGCCCGAGGUCUUGACUCAUCUUCAUAUGGGAAUGAUGCUACAGGUUCUUUGUCCUUCUCAACCAGAGAAGUGGGUGGUGCAAUUGCAGCUCCUCCCAUACUUCUUUUUCUUCUCUCCCUUUCGUAAUCUUCAUCUUCAUCAGAAUCUGGAUCCGGCCUUCUUGAAAACCCACUGGCUUCAUGUCUGUCUUUACGCUUUUCUCUCUCUUCAAUUUCCUUUUGCCUCUCCAGCUCACGCUGUCUCUGUCGUUCCUCUCUUUGCCGCUUCACCACUUUUUCAUAGUCAUUUGGAAACAUAGGAUCAUACUCAUCUGCCAAAGGAAUCAAUACAUCUCCUGCAGAAAAACCACUAGGUAC